rnacentral:rRNA from 1 species
GCAUAUCAAUAAGCGGAGGAAAAGAAACCAACAGGGAUUGCCCUAGUAACGGCGAGUGAAGCGGCAACAGCUCAAAUUUGAAAUCUGGCGUCUUUGGCGUCCGAGUUGUAAUUUGCAGAGGGCGCUUUGGCAUUGGCAGCGGUCCAAGUUCCUUGGAACAGGACGUCACAGAGGGUGAGAAUCCCGUACGUGGUCGCUAGCCUUUACCGUGUAAAGCCCCUUCGACGAGUCGAGUUGUUUGGGAAUGCAGCUCUAAAUGGGAGGUAAAUUUCUUCUAAAGCUAAAUACUGGCCAGAGACCGAUAGCGCACAAGUAGAGUGAUCGAAAGAUGAAAAGCACUUUGGAAAGAGAGUUAAAAAGCACGUGAAAUUGUUGAAAGGGAAGCGCUUGCAGCCAGACUUGCCUGUAGUUGCUCAUCCGGGUUUUUACCCGGUGCACUCUUCUAUAGGCAGGCCAGCAUCAGUUUGGGCGGUUGGAUAAAGGUCUCUGUCAUGUACCUCUCUUCGGGGAGAACUUAUAGGGGAGACGACAUGCAACCAGCCUGGACUGAGGUCCGCGCAUCUGCUAGGAUGCUGGCGUAAUGGCUGUAAGCGGCCCGUCUUGAAACACGGACC